rnacentral:tRNA from 1 species
CGGGGUGUGGCGCAGUUGGCUAGCGCACCUGCUUUGGGAGCAGGGGGUCGAAGGUUCGAAUCCUUUCACCCCGACAA